rnacentral:tRNA from 1 species
AGAGAGGUGGCCGAGCGGUCGAAGGCGCACGCUUGGAAAGCGUGUAUACGUUUAUAGCGUAUCGAGGGUUCGAAUCCCUUCCUCUCUG